AUUGAACGCUGGCGGCAUGCCUUACACAUGCAAGUCGAACGGUAACAGGUCUUCGGAUGCUGACGAGUGGCGAACGGGUGAGUAAUACAUCGGAACGUGCCCAGACGUGGGGGGAUAACGAGGCGAAAGCUUUGCUAAUACCGCAUACGAUCUAAGGAUGAAAGCAGGGGACCGCAAGGCCUUGCGCGUUUGGAGCGGCCGAUGGCAGAUUAGGUAGUUGGUGGGAUAAAAGCUUACCAAGCCGACGAUCUGUAGCUGGUCUGAGAGGACGACCAGCCACACUGGGACUGAGACACGGCCCAGACUCCUACGGGAGGCAGCAGUGGGGAAUUUUGGACAAUGGGCGAAAGCCUGAUCCAGCAAUGCCGCGUGUAGGACGAAGGCCUUCGGGUUGUAACUGCUUUGUAUGGACGAAAGACACUGGCUAAUACCUGGUGUUGAUGACGGUACCGUAAGAAUAAGACACCGGCUAACUACGUGCCAGCAGCCGCGGUAA
rnacentral:rRNA from 1 species